ACACCCGCCAUUUUUGUCGAAAUAAUGCGCCAAAUAAACUGAUAUGUCUUGUUUCGUUUAUUUAAGCCAACCCAAAGGAGCUAACAAAUAAAUCAUCAGUCCUCAAACGAAUCAACCAGUGAAGGAGAAAAACAUUCAAAGCCGUAAAUUGUCAAAUCCAUCAGUUGGAAGAUGGAUGUCAAAGUCUUAGACAACGAAAGUCUUCCAGAGUUAAGAAAAGACCACUUCAACAAAAACAAUCAUGCAAAGAAUGACUGCAAAAAAUCUUUUCGCAGAUGCGUUUCAUCAUCAAGUGUAUAAGGAAAAGGGACCUGGGUACAGAGACUAGAUGUAAAUGUCAAGGACUGAAAUGAGCAAUUCAAUGGUUUCUUACUAAUUGUGUUUAUAUGCGUCAUAAGAAAUUAAAACUGUUAUAAAUGGAUGUGUAGUAAUGAUGAAAUUAUCACCUUGUGUCGAAUGAAAUUAACUAUUCAUGAAUUUAGUUCAUGAAUGACAUUUUGGAAAAAUAAUGUUCAUGAACUGUCAAGUUCAUUUACUAAGCAGGAGUUCAUGAACUUAGUGGGAGUUCAUGAACAUGAUUUGUCAAAAUUGUCAUUCAUGAAUAGUUCAU